rnacentral:lncRNA from 1 species
CCUCACACAAACACACGCACGCUUUCUCUCACACAAAACGCACACGAGCUUUCCUCGUACAAACACACGCACGCUUUCUCUCAUACACAACUUUUCUCUCACAAAAAACAAACGCACGCUUUCUCUCACACAAACACACGCACGCUUUCUCUCACACAAACACACCGCACGCUUUCUAUCAUACAACACAUGCACGCUUCCUCUCACACAAAACGAAGCACCUUUCCUCCACAAACACACGCACGCUUUCUCUCACACAAACACACGCACGCUUUCUCUCAUACAAACACACACACGCUUUCCUCAUACAAACACACAACACGCUCCUCUCAUACAACACACGCACACUUUCUCUCAUACAAACACACACAAGCUUUCUCUCAUACACACACUUUCUCUCACACAACACACGCAACGCUUCUAUCAUACAAACACAUGCACCUUUCUCUCACACACAAACAGAAGCACGCUUUCUCUCUCCACACACAAACACACGCACAGCGUUCUCUCACACAACACACGCACGCUUCUCUCAUACAAACACACCCACGCUUUCUCUCAUACAACACACGCACACUUUCUCUCAUACAAACACACGCACACUUUCUCUCACACACAACACUUUCUCUCACACGCACGCUUUCUCUCACAAAACACACGCACGCUUCUCUCACACAAACACACGCACGCUUUCUCAUCCAUCACAAAACAACACACGCUUUCUCUCACACAAACAAACGCACGCUUUCUCUCAUACAAACAACACCACACGCUUUCUCUCAUACAAACACACGCACGCUUUCUCUCAUACAAACACACUUUCUCUCAAACAAACACACGCACCGCUUUCUCUCUACACAAACAAACGCACGCUUUCUCUCUCACAAAACAACAACGCACGCUUUCCUCUCAUACAAACACACACACGCUUU